rnacentral:rRNA from 1 species
UACAGAGGUGGCAAGCGUUGUUCGGAAUUACUGGGCGUAAAGGGCGAGUAGGUGGCCAUCUAAGUCAGACGUGAAAUCCCCCGGCUUAACCUGGGAACUGCGUCUGAUACUGGACGGCUUGAGUAUGGGAGAGGAACGUAGAAUUCCAGGUGUAGCGGUGAAAUGCGUAGAUAUCUGGAGGAAUACCGGUGGCGAAGGCGGCGUUCUGGACCAUUACUGACACUGAAAAGCGAAAGCCAGGGGAGCAAACGGG